CCGCGCUGAUGUGCAGCGCACCGGGCUGCACCUGCAGCCAGUGGAUUGGACUGGAGGGUCGCAGCGCGUGGCUCCCGCCGCGGGCACCGCUGCCCAGCCUCUCCACUAGAAGGAAUUAACCCCCUCAGAAAGAUCAAAGGCAGUCCUACCCCCUUGUCUCUUCCCCAAAAUAUCCUUUUGUUAAAAAAAAAAAAAAUAGCCCUAUCCAAAAUAUCAAGUGCCCGGUGCUGCUGGAUGGAAAAGCUCUACCCAACACCAGAGCCGAAGGAAAUGCAUUCGGACGCCAGCCCCGCUGGAUGCCGAGGAUGGAGAGGCAGCCUGACCCGAGGAGCGCUUCUCCAUAGAGCCAAGCCCUGAGAUUUCCUAGAGGGUGAGGUUGGUCGUCUACCCUUCGGACAGCUGUGGAAAGCUUCGCUUGCAGCACACAGCAGUGGUCGCGGGCACAUUUCUAGCGGCUGGAACAAAGUCCAGAUGCCAGAAGCCAGUUCCCAGUGGGCCCCUCAGAAGCACUCCAUCCUGGGUCUUCCAGAAAUGGGUAUUUCCUUCCGAAUGGAAUCCAGGACUCCCCUGUCCACUUUUGCUAGCGGAGAGCAAAGAAAGAACACGCACACCCCUGGCCACCUUUGGGAGUCUAAUUCAAGCUCUGACCUCCUCUGGACAUAUUUUUUAGUGACCCAAGCCUAAAUUGAUUUCUGUAACAAUUUCCGGGAUUUGUGAGUGAGACGGGACAUUUGCUGAACGUCACACUCUAAUUCUACCUGCCUCCUGUAGAGAUGCACAGCAUAGUUGACUCCACUGGUUAUUACGGUGACCGAGAGACAUCUUGCCUGUAUCAUCCCGGUAUGUGACCUAUACUAAUACCACACAUUGGGUGAAGGACUGGCUAGCCAGAAAAAAAAGUAACAGCCCUACAGCCACAUGCGUUGAGCCAUGCAGCAGUAUUGGCAAUCCCAUUGUGACACUCUCAAUCACAUGGAGUAGUC